rnacentral:rRNA from 1 species
GACGAACCAUGCAAACGUUAUUCGGAUUCACUGGGCUUAAAGCGUGCGUAGGCGGUCUUGUUAGUCAGGUGUGAAAGCCCUCAGCCCAACUGAGGAAUUGCGCUUGAUACUGCAUGACUCGAGAAUGAUAGAGGUGGGUGGAACUGAUGGUGGAGCGGUGAAAUGCGUUGAUAUCAUCAGGAACACCAGUGGCGAAGGCGACCCACUGGGUCAUUUCUGACGCUGAGGUACGAAAGCUAGGGUAGCGAACGGG